rnacentral:misc_RNA from 1 species
AAAGACACCACCAGAGCUAUCAGUGCAUAGUGAGGCUUUUUUGGCGAGGCAAUUUGGUCUAAAAUCACCAACAGAAUCUCUAGGAUGAUGUUUGUGAGCGCUGCUCCCCAUUCAAAAGCUACCUCACUCUCUCUUCCAAGAACUGGGCACUGGAAAAUAUUUUCAUUGACUGAUAUAGCUAAAUCUUGAAUAAUAAAAUCUCUUGAUCCAAAAUCAUCAACUCUUUUAUUUUCUUGAGGUCGGACCAAUCCUUCUUCAAUCCAAGAAAGGACUAAUUUCUCCUUUACAAAUGUAUAAUCCUUGGGAGAUUUUAUACGGUAAGCAAGG